UGGCGAACGGGUGAGUAACACGUGAGUAACCUGCCCUUCACUCUGGGAUAAGCACUGGAAACGGUGUCUAAUACCGGAUACGACCUCCGACCGCAUGGUCAGGGGGUGGAAAGAAUUUUGGUGGAGGAUGGACUCGCGGCCUAUCAGGUAGUUGGUGAGGUAAUGGCUCACCAAGCCGACGACGGGUAGCCGGCCUGAGAGGGUGACCGGCCACACUGGGACUGAGACACGGCCCAGACUCCUACGGGAGGCAGCAGUGGGGAAUAUUGCACAAUGGGCGAAAGCCUGAUGCAGCAACGCCGCGUGAGGGACGACGGCCUUCGGGUUGUAAACCUCUUUUAGUAGGGAAGAAGCGAAAGUGACGGUACCUGCAGAAAAAGCACCGGCUAACUACGUGCCAGCAGCCGCGGUAAUACGUAGGGUGCAAGCGUUGUCCGGAAUUAUUGGGCGUAAAGAGCUCGUAGGCGGUUUGUCGCGUCUGCUGUGAAAUCCGGAGGCUCAACCUCCGGCCUGCAGUGGGUAC
rnacentral:rRNA from 1 species